UAAGAUGCUUUAGAUUGAUAUAUAAAGAAUGUUUUUUUUUAAAGUACAGGUUCCAUAUGAUAUUAGUCCUUGUCCGGACAAACUAACUAUCGGGUAUUACUUCUUAGGGUUGAAAAGCCUAGAGUGAUAUUUGAUAGGAGUGUUGGUGUUCUUUGGUUGUUGAUCUAAGGCGAUCGGAAGUAUUUUGAGAACCUAGGAUCAAUCAUCGAGGAACAUCAACCGUGUCAUUUCCAGACAUCUACGAUUGGGGGUUUCACAGACACACAUCGCCUCCUCAUCACCACAAACACGCCCGCUUCUAAAUACGUCAAAGAUUUGUAAGUCUCCAAGAAAAACUUCAAUCCUUCGAAAGAAAUUCUCAUUUUUCAUUUAUGAUUCAUUUUCUAAUACUGUUUCUUUAUAUGUUUCUCACAAAUUACAAAAAUUCAUAUUUGCAAAAGUAGGACAAAAAUCUGAAAUGGACAAGAUGGUUAAAAAAAAUCUCACACAUCCUUAAAAAAUCUACAUGGACCAAAGAGAGGAAAAUAACCAUUUUACCUUUAUGAUGGCUCAAUAUGGACCAUUAGAUCAGAUCAUGUGUCCUUUAUAAUAUUAAUUAUUAUUAGAAUGCAAAAAGAUAUAUAAAAGAGAACUCUAAUUUUUAUAAUCAGAAAAUAUAAUUGUUAGCUUAAACACAUUCCGCGUAGGAUGUGGAUUAUCAUCUAGUAACUAUUGUUAGAACCGUAAGCAAUUAAUGGGAAAAAAUAGUUUGACUCUAUCAUUUUAGUAUUAUUUCAAUUCCUCAUUUAAUUUUGAUACCAUUUUUCCUUUAGUCAUCCCCUAAACAUUACCACAAUUAUUUUGAAAUAAAAAUGAUGACAUUACACACUAACAAUGAUAACAUAUCUUGAAGUUAAUUGUGACAUGGAUAUUUACAUUUAACGUUGAUUUAUAUUUUUGAUAAAAUUUUAAAAUAUAGUAAUAACUCAUAGAUCAUCAUUAAUAUAAUAAUAAAUAAUAUAAUAGUAGAAAUAGAAAUAUGGUAAUAUUUUAUAAUUUUUGAAAUAUUGUUUAAUUGUAUUUUUUAUAAUUAUAUUUUUAUUACUAAAAAUAUUCUUCAAAAUUUUAUGCAGUUUUUUAAAUAGUAAUUUUCUAAUCCCAAUACCAUAAAAAAAUUUUAACAUCGAGGAAUUUAAGAAAUAUUAAUUUUUUUACGUUUCGAUAGUUAUAUACCUAACAAAAUUUUCUCUUAAUUUUAAAGAAUUUGAUUUAAUAUAUUUUAACCAAAAUAUAAAUUAAAAAAUCUUUACAAAUCAUAAUUCUAAACAUAUAUAUAUUAUUAAACAUAAAUGUUUCGAAAAUUAUUGUUUAUAUUUUAUAAAAUUAAUAUUGUAAGAAAAUAGUAAAAUAUAAAAUUUAAAACAAAUUUAUUUUUGAAUAUGAUUCAAAUUUUGAAACUUUUAUUUCUGCACAUGGUAAUGGUUCAUGGGGAAUUGCCACUAAUACCACUUUCCUAAUACCACUUUUCAACUUUACAUUUUUCAAAUUUACCAUUAAAAUUUUAAUGGCUAAAGUACCAUUAUACCCCUAACUAAUUAAACCUAAGACUAACUCUUCUCUCCUACAUCUCACGAUAAUUAAAUCUCAUCAUCUCAGAUUCAAAUCGGCGACGGAUUCCGGCGAUGACGAGUUGUCCGGCGAGAUCCGACGACGGUGCAGAGUUGUCCGGCGAGAUCCGACGAAGCUAUGGCGAGAUUCAACGAAGUUACGAAUAGAACCGAUGAAGCUACGGCGAAAUCAUACGAAGCUGCGGCGAGAUCCGACGAAGCUACGGCGAGAUCCGCUGAAACUACGGUGAGAUCCGACGAAGCUACGGCGAGAUCCGACAAAGCUACGGUGAAAUCCGAUUACUUUGCAAAGGCUUUGAAAUCCGACAAAUCUACGGUGAAAGCUACGGUGAAAUCCGAUUACUUUGCAAAGGCUCCCAUGGGUGAAGAUGUUCAACGAGUCUUCUAAUUUGUUCAUUUUCAUCGAUGUGAGCCCCAGCUUUGCUUUGAUUUUCAAAUUAAAAAAAAUAGUCUCAGUCUUUGAUUUGAUUCUCUCCAAUCAUCUCAUCUCUUCUUACAGGUUCCCUUGUCUCAUAUUCCACUGAUUCCACUUCUUUCAUUUGAGAUCUUGGUGUUUCUCACAUUCCUUUUCACAUCCACAAGAGUUAAGGUAAGUAGUAAUAUUUAUAAAACUAAACCUUGAAAUGAGUUUGUUUGAUUCUGAUCACAAGCAUGGUCUAUGUACAGUCUACAGAGAGGGUGAGACAAUAUAUCCCUUGUUGAAGGACGUGGCUCUUUCACCAGAUAUGCCAGGAGGAAGCAACGCAAUGAAACAAAUGUUCACUUUUGCCUUGAGAUCAGCUAGAAAGGUAUUGUUACAGGAAAUCAUGUUUUAGCGGAGGAAGCUACAUCAAUGGCUAUCUGGUGUGUACUAUAAUUUAUAAAAGCUUAUAAAUAAUUAUAAACUCUUAUUAAUGGAUACAAUUUUAUAAGAUGUUAUAAAUAAUACACAAAAGAGGUUCUUCCAGUUUUUAUUAGGAACGAUCUCCAAGUGGCCUCCUUUAUGAGCACACAUAAAGAAAGUGGAGUACUUCUUCAUUUUUGUGCAACAAUUUCUGAGGUUAACUCUUUGGUCAUGUUUUAUUAUAAGGCUUUGUUAUUUACUUCGACACAAUCAUUAGCUUCGUGUUUUUAUAUUGCAAAAAUACAUGUACACACUCUCUUUGAUUGUGCGAAACAAGGUUGUCUAUGGUAAUGCCCUUGAGAUAUUUAGAACUCCUUUUACAUUUUCAUAAAUACUUAAAAAAUUAUUGUAUAGAAAUUAUUGAGUUCAUGUUUUUAUGUUGCAAAUGGAAAGGCUUAGAUCACAAUUAAUUAUGUCAAACAUGAUACAUCCACAAAAUGAAGUUUCUAGUACUCAAGACUUUCUCAUUGCUGGAAGUAGCAAAAUCUUUGAGGUGUUUAUUACAAUUUAAUACUUUCAAGGACUUAUAAAAUAAUAGUCAAAACUUAUUCAUUUAAUGUUUGAGAUUUUAUUACAUUGUUUACAUUUAUGAAGACUUAGAAAAUAAUUGUACAAUUUUAUUAGUUUCAUGCUUUUAUGUUGCAGAUAGAAAUACAAAGUCACCACUGAUAGUACCAAAUAUGAUAGAACCCGAGAUGAAGUUUUUAGUACACAAAUUUGUCUAUUCCUGAAAAUAGUAAUAUUCUUGAGGCAUGAAGAAACAAAUUAUUUAUAAGUGUAUAUAAACAAUUUAUAAAGGCAUGAAGAAAUUAAUGAUAAGUCUUUAUAAAGGUUUAUAAAAAAUUUAUAAAGUCCAUCCAAUUCUGCAAAAUCAAUAAGCCUUUAUAAAUUGUUUAUAUACUCUUACAAAUAAUUUAUAAACAUUUAUAAAUGAUUUUCAAAUUUUAUAAAUGAUUUACAAACUUUACAAACUGUUCUUUCAUAAACUUCAUCUUGGGGUUCUAUCAGGGUUUACAAACACUAUAAGGGUUUAUAAAACAUUCACAUACCCUUUAUAAGAGGUUUAUAGACUCUUUAAUUCUUUACAAAUUAUUAAUAAGUCAUUAUAAAUGGUUUCUAAACUUUAUAAAAACUUUUAUGAACUUAAUAAAUGUUUUAUAAACCCUUAUAAAUUAUUUACAUACCUUUAUAAACCUUAUAAAUUAUUUUACAAACCUUAUAAAUUGUCUUAUAAGCCUUUAUAAAUGGUUAUAGACUCUUAUAAAUGAUUUAAACACCUUCUAACUGAUUUAUUUUAUAAACAUUUUAAAACGGUUUAUAGACUUUAAAAACCUCUUUAUAAGCCUUUAUAAAUGGUUUAUAUACUCUUACAAAUAAUUUAUAAACAUUUAUAAAUGAUUUUCAAAUUUUAUAGAUGAUUUACAAACUUUAGAAACUGUUCUUUCAUAAACUUCAUCUCGGGGUUCUAUCAGGGUUUACAAACUUUAUAAGGGUUUAUAAAACAUUCACAUAUCAUUAUUUUUGUAUAUAAUAUUUGUAAACUGAUUUAGAAGCCUUUAUAAAUUAUUUUUUUAUAGAUUUAUAAGUCUUUAUAACUUUUAAAUUCCCCUUUAUAUAUCCUCGUAUUGGUGUUUACAUAUCAUUAUUUUUGUAUAUAAUAUUUGUAAACUGAUUUAGAAGCCUUUAUAAAUUACUUUUUUAUAGAUUUAUAAGUCUUUAUAACCUUUAAAUACGCCUUUAUAUAUCCUAAACUCGAUUGAUUUUACAAGAGGUAAAAAAACCAGUUUUAAUAAGGUCUUAUAAAGCUACUAAGAUAUAACUUUUGUAAUAAACCAUUUUGUUUUUAUUUUAUAAGAGGUUAUAAACUAUUUGUAAUAAUGUGUUAUAAAGCUACUGAAAUACAAAUUUACCAUUGAACUUUCUAAAUUUAAGCAAAGCCAUAAAUCCAAGUCAUAAACUCAUAAUACUCAUAAUACUCAGAACAAACAAAGUUUACCAAACACGCAUAAAACAGAUAGUUGUUCACACAUAACAAUAAGCAAGCGAUAAAGUUUUUGUUCAUUCCCACAUUAGUAUUCAUUGUAAUUCCGAGAAGAUAUCAACCGCCAACUUUUCUCGGAUGAUUGCAAUUUUUUCUUCACUCAGCUUUGUCAAGUCCACUAUACGCAUUGCAUGGCACUCUAUCAGCUUCAAUGCAUAAACUCCACUGUCUUCUAUUUUAAGAACCUUAAACAAAAAUGUUUUAGUAAUAUAUUAGCAGAUAAAUUAUAAUAUAAGUUAUUUGAUCUUAAGAACCUCGAUACAAAUCUAACAUGAAGAUUUAUAAGCAGUUAUAAAGAUGUUACCUGUGGGAAACCUUCAGAUACAAUUUUUAUCGAGAACUUGCGUGUAUCCAUGCUGACAUCUUUGAAGAAGUUGCGAAUCAUGAAUGGGAGAGCCAUCGCAUAUGCAUUAACGUAAGGGACCAAACUCGCAUCUGUGAACUUCAUUGCUGCACAAUUGAAUGCUGUGAUACUUCUCUUCUCCAAGUUGACUACAACUCCAAGCCAAUAUUUCUCUGCUACUGCAAUGGCCGAAUAGAGAAAAUUGAUAUUUUUCUCUAUGUUGUACUUAUCAAAACCUGUUCCAAAUUGGAAACUUUUCUUGUCAUCUAAAAACUCAUCAUAAAGCUCAUCUAUUUCUUCAAGAAACUUCACUCCAACAACUAAGGCAGUUUUGUUCAGAAACAAAUCUGGAUUGUUUAUCUGUCUCAGUUUCAGCAUCUCAAAACCUGCUUCAAUAUGCUGAAACAAAAAAAAACAAAUAUUCAGAAAAGCGAUCAUAUAGUUUUAUAAAGAAGAUUAAUA